UUAGGAAUUUUGCGCAAUGGACGAAAGUCUGACGCAGCAACGCCGCGUGGAGGACGAAGGCCCUCGGGUCGUAAACUCCUUUUGCACGGGAAGAUAGUGACGGUACCGUGCGAAUAAGCCCCGGCUAACUACGUGCCAGCAGCCGCGGUAAUACGUAGGGGGCGAGCGUUGUCCGGAUUUAUUGGGCGUAAGGAGCGCGUAGGCGGCUUGCCAAGUCGUGCGUGAAAUACCUCGGCUCAAACCGGGGGGAGUCGUGCGAUACUGGUAGGCUUGAGGCCGGUAGGGGGAAGCGGAAUUCCCGGUGUAGUGGUGGAAUGCGUAGAUAUCGGGAGGAACACCAGUGGCGAAGGCGGCUUCCUGGACCGGUCCUGACGCUGAGGCGCGAAAGCGUGGGAGCGAACUGAUUAGAUACUCAGGUAGUCCACGCUGUAAACGAUGGGUGCUAGGUGUCGGGGGUAUCGACCCCUCCGGUGCCGCAGCU
rnacentral:rRNA from 1 species